ensembl:lncRNA
GGCGGUAUCCCCGAAUAGUCGGGUGGGGAGAGUCGAGCGUCAUUGGAGGCGGAGAAGCGGGAAAAAGGGGGGUCCGGGAAAACUUGGCACUCCAUUUGCUCCUUUCUUCACAGGUACUAAUCACCAUCAUGCCUACUUCCGAGCCCCCCAAAAGCAGGCGGGAGGCAGUCUAUUCCUCCCCUGCUAGUUCUGACGACGAGGGGGCCGGCAAGUCUUCCACUUUCUCCCUGAUCUCUGACAGUUUCCAUCCAGAGUUAUCAGAUUUCCACCAUGGGGGAGAGGGAGAAACAACAACAACUAGCAGGGGAUCGAGCAUCCCUCAGAAGAUGAAACACCACCAUAGUCUGGAACAAAUUAAGGAUACAAAUAAACUUUCACCUGUUCACAAUAGUCUUUCACCAUGGGAAGAAUGGUUCCUUUGCAAAGAGAGAGAACUACGUGCUCGUUUACAAAUGAAAGCUUUGGAGGUGAAUACAUAGCUUAUUAUCUUUAUAGUUAACAACAGAUUGUGAGACAUCAAAAUGCAUACUUUCCCGAUUAUUUUUUAAAAUACAGAUUGUUUUUUAUAUUUUGAUCAUAUUUGUCCUGCUUUUUAUUUGCUGAUUAUGUCCUGAUUCAUUACUAGUAGUGAAUAUUUUUACUCUGUUUUUAUUUAUGUUAUGCUGAUAGAAGCUAUUACUUGAAUUUUACUUAAUCAACUCCCUCCUAAACGUUUAAAUUUAAAAUGUAAUGCUUUAAAAAAAAAUGCGUACAUACGUAUUGAAGCUUUAACACAUUAAAAAUGUGUGCUGUUCAUGGGUAAGUGAAGUUUUAUGAUCCAGGGUAAGAGAUGGUUGGCUAUAAAAGUAUAUUAUGGUUGACAUAUGUUGUGAUAAACUGUAGUAUGUUACAUGACUGUUAGAGAAAUAUGUUGUGCUUUUGUCCCUUUCAAAAUUAAAUUUAUUUCUAAAAAGUUUUAUAUUAGUACCCUUUUUACUUGUGAACUUAUCUAAUUUUCUGGUAAUAUUCAGAAUAGUCUCACUUCAUUUUGUGAGAUGAUGCAGUCUUAAUAUUGUUUGCACUACCUGCAUUUUAUGAAAAAUUCUGUCGUUUCAAUGCUAUCUAUGCUGAUGGACAUUUUUGACUAUAAUUAACAGUAAUUUUUGAAUGACUGGUAAAAGACUUUAUUGUCCCAACUAUUUUAUCUACUUAAUGUAAACCUUCCUGCAGUUUACCAGGUAUGGAUCCUAGCUACUGAAGAAACAAACGGCUUUUGGCAAAGAAGAAAAUUUGUUGCUUUAGAUUUUCAAUUUAUUGUAAAAAAAAUUCUGAGCAAUCUUUAGGAAGUCAGUUUGGCCUAGACUAAAGAAAUAAUUUUCUCUAAGUCCAAACCAUUGUUAAGUAAAGAAAUGAGGGUAUGAAGUGGUUCUUCAAUUUUGUUAAACAUGUUAUAUUAAUUAAGCAAUAGUUGCUGGGAUGAAACGUAGUAAGCCACAAAUCAUCUUUUAAUAGUACAAUCAUCCAAAUUUUCAUGUUUGUAUCAUUACUAUAAAAAACAUAGAAACCUCUCCCAGUUUCUUCACUGAGAAAUGUCUGUAGCAGCCCUUGCCUGCAAGCCAUGCCCUCUGCAUAUCACAAAGGGAGUUUUUGUAAAUUUUGUAAGUUCCCUAUUGAACAAUGCUUCUGUCCUGGUGCUGGUGGGGCUGAUCAAGUGGAAGAUGUUAUCAAUUAUAUCCUCCACUGCUUCGUUUACAAUGGGAUUAGGCCCAAAUUAUUAAUGACAGAUGAACUCAGAGCCUCUAACCUUGCAAAAUUAAACUGUUUCAACAGUCAGGAAACAAAGUUGUUGUCAUUUGCACUUAGAAAUACUUAAGAUCUUAGUUGUAGCUUUGACUUUAUUGUAACCUUUUUACUUCUAAUACUUCUAUUACGCUGUUUUAUAAUUUCAUUAUGGUUAAUUUAUUGUAUUUUAUGGCAUCUUCAUAUGUUGUGAACUAUGGUUACAAGAAUAAACAUAUUUACAUUACAUAAAAUCA